AUGACCUUACUUGAACAGGAUCUGUUCUAUAGGUUUUACCUCUGUAUCCUUGAGUUCUAAGGAGACAGGAACUACAAUCUGGUAACCUAUCAAAAAUAUAUAUCCAUAUAUAUUAGUUUUCUUCCAAUAUAAAUGCUUUACUCCGACCUUACCUGUUGGUCAAGUUGGACUUGUGUCUCUGUCAGAUU